GAACUUACCCAGCAAGGGAGGUAGCAUGUUCACAAAAGGGGUUUUCCUAAGGGUGAGACUCUUCCAUUGCACUCCAGAUAUGGUGACCCCUGGGAUUUCCCCAAAUGUGCAUUAUGUGUGGCAGUGAGGAGAGGGGACCUUA
rnacentral:snRNA from 1 species